UAACACGUGGAGAACCUGCCCCCUCCCCCGGGAUAGCCGCCCGAAAGGACGGGUAAUACCGGAUACCCCCGGGUGCCGCAUGGCGCCCGGGCUAAAGCCCCGACGGGAGGGGAUGGCUCCGCGGCCCAUCAGGUAGACGGCGGGGUGACGGCCCACCGUGCCGACAACGGGUAGCCGGGUUGAGAGACCGACCGGCCAGAUUGGGACUGAGACACGGCCCAGACUCCUACGGGAGGCAGCAGUGGGGAAUCUUGCGCAAUGGGGGCAACCCUGACGCAGCGACGCCGCGUGCGGGACGGANGCCNUCGGGUCGUAAACCGCUUUCAGCAGGGAAGAGACGAGACUGUACCUGCAGAAGAAGCCCCGGCUAACUACGUGCCAGCAGCCGCGGUAAUACGUAGGGGGCNNAGCGUUAUCCGGAUUCAUUGGGCGUAAAGCGCGCGUAGGCGGCCCGGCAGGCCGGGGGUCGAAGCGGGGGGCUCAACCCCCCGAAGCCCCCGGAACCUCCGCGGCUUGGGUCCGGUAGGGGAGGGUGGAACACCCGGUGUAGCGGUGGAAUGCGCAAAUAUCGGGUGGAACACCGGUGGGCGAAGGCGGCCCUCUGGGCCCGAAACCGACGCUUGAGGCGCGAAA
rnacentral:rRNA from 1 species